AGGACGAACGCUGGCGGCGUGCUUAACACAUGCAAGUCGAGCGGUAAGGCCCUUCGGGGUACACGAGCGGCGAACGGGUGAGUAACACGUGGAUAAUCUGCCCUGCACUCUGGGAUAAGCCCGGGAAACUGGGUCUAAUACCGGAUAUGACAUCACUAGGCAUCUGGUGGUGUGGAAAGUUCCGGCGGUGCAGGAUGAGUCCGCGGCCUAUCAGCUUGUUGGUGGGGUGAUAGCCUACCAAGGCGACGACGGGUA
rnacentral:rRNA from 1 species